rnacentral:lncRNA from 1 species
AUUUUUUAUCCGAUUAUUUUUAUUUUUUUACCAAAAUAUUCGUAAUAAUUAAUUAGAAUUUUCUACGCUUUUGUUUCGAUCCGAUUUCGGUUAUUUAGAUUUAUUUUAUUUUAUUUUGACUUAGUUUUUGAAUUUCUCUUUUAUUGCUAAAUAUUAUCAAAGGGGAAAUUUAGUGGAAUAUCCAAGAGCUUUGGAGCUCACAUGUGUGUAUAGUUUGCUUGGAAAGCACUCAAUCAAAAUCCAAUUCCCUUUCUUCUUUUUUAGUACACCUUUCUUUUUUAAAUUAAAUAUAUAUAUAUUUUGCUUUCUAUAAUAUCUUCCUUUCUCUAAACCACAAGAAACAAGUCACGUGGCCGCUUGCUGUCCAUGGAAGAAAAAGAAGAAGAAAAAAACAGUUUUUCAUUGUCACCAAGAUCCAAACGUGGCCUUGCAAGUUGAGAUAUUUUUUCAGUUUUUCUUUCAUAUACUUUCAGAACAUACAUAACUAGAGAAAAAACACAAUACCACACUAAAAACCAAACCUCCAUAACUCAUCACCAAAACAUAUUUUCAUCUUCAAACAAAAUCAACCUUCACCAUCAACACACUCCUUCCGCCGCAGAUUCCAACAUCGCCAUAUCUUCACUCAUUAUUACCUUCAUCUACUCAUCAUCUUCCCUAACCAUCUCUCACACACAAAAAUAAGACUUUUUUUCUUCAUACCAAAAUAACACCAACAUCUUUGUUUAAGCCAUUGCAUCAACCAGAUCCGCUAUAGUUGAAUAACCAUUACAAGAAGGCAAACCUCCAUUCACGUUUCCGGCAAGCAGUUACGUCCAACAAUAACCAAGACACACCGCAGUCACCGGGACAUUUUCAUAGCCUUAUUUUCGGUAACCUUUUAUUUUGACUUUGUUUUUGUUUCCAUCCAUUAUUUACAUUUUGGUUUUGUUUUGAACUAGAAAAGUUUGGACUUGUGUUUGAUUUAUUUCUUUAAAAAAAUGCGUUUGUUUUAAUGGAAGAGUGAGAGAGGAAGAAUGAAUAAGUGUUAAACUGUGAGAGAGAGACGGGUGGAAUUUGAAUUUUAAACUGUUUUGUUUGCCACAUGUCACAAGAGGACGGGUGGAAUUUGAAUUUUAAUAUGAUUAUUUAUUUCUUUAUGAUAGUUUAACUUAUUCAUGUCAUAAAUAUAUUUUUUUCGUUGCAUAAGCAUUCAAUUUGACGUGAUAUACCUAAUGAAAGAUAAAAAGAUUUGACUAAUAUUUGAAGAGACUCAUGUUAUACAUUAAAGGUACACAGUGUCACCACAUGCAUGUUAUCAUACAAUUAUUCUAGUUAUUAGUAGUACAUAUAAUUUACACUAAAUGAUGGACACCAACUAGUCCUAAUAAGACUACCAUUUUCAUAUAAUAGCAUAGAAUCAUUUGAAAUUUCAAAAUUUGUACAUAUUUAUUAUUAUUAUUAUUACUAUUAUUAUAAUAAUAAUUACUAUUAUGAUUUUUAUUAAUUAUUAUUAUAACUAUUAUUAUUAUUUCAUUAUUAUUGUUAUUAUUAUUAAUAGAAAUUGUUUAUUAUUAUUAUUGACAAUUAAUAUUUGUUAAUUAAAUUUAUUGUUAUUAUUAUUUUAAUUUUAUUAUUUAUGUUUGUUGAUUAUUAUUCUAAGUAUGAUUAUUAAUUAUCAUUGUUAUUAUCAAAUAUUAUUGGUUAUUAUUGUUUUUUUAUUAUUCACUAAUUAGAUUGUUUAUUUUAAUUGCUAAAUAAAAAUUUGAUUUAUUUGUUCGAUUAAUUUUUUACAGAUGCGUAGCAAUUUUUGAAGUUAAUUUUUUUUUAAUUUAACUUCGGAAAUUGCUUACACGCGUAUAAUCUUAUUGAUCGAUCUCAAAUAGGAUGAUUCCUAUAUUAAUCACUUUAUGAUUGCUUAACAUAUCGCUAAAUUUCUUUUAGUUUAGUUUCUGAUUUUUUUUGUUGCUUCAAGUUCCUUGGCUUUCUCUUGAGCCUUCUUACAACGAGAUUCUUUUAUUUUUACAAUUGUCUUUUAAUCUUGUACUGUUUUAAUUAUUAUGCUGUAUCCUCAUUCAGUAAACUGUAUCCCCAUUCCCGAAAAUUUGUAAUAAAUUUACCGCUUUUAUUUACUUUAUUGUAUUAGUUGAUUGUUAAUUCAAAGAUUAAAAUCAAUCAUUUUUAGAAAAGAACAAAAACAAAUACUAAUUCCCGAAAAUUUGUAAUAAAUUUACCGCUUUUAUUUACUUUAUUGUAUUAGUUGAUUGUUAAUUCAAAGAUUAAAAUCAAUCAUUUUUAGAAAAGAACAAAAACAAAUACUCGAUCCAACGUCGAACAAUUUUCAGAAAAUUAGAACCGUUUACACUAUACACUUCUGUAUCAUUUUCAAAACCCUUCAAUCAUGCUAUUUGAUUUUCAGUUCAAACGCAAAAUAUUAAAAACGUCGAAUGCCUUUUCCCUAAUCAAAAUCCAAAAUACC